GAGAAACAACUGUUUGCUUUAGAUGCAAAUAAACUCAACUUCACCUUUAAAGCUGAAAACCUGUGCCCUUGGCAAGACGUUUGGGGACUGUUCCAGAGAUAUUAAUCUUCCUCCGUUUACAUGUUAAAUAGAUCUUUGGAAACGGUUUCUCCAGCACUGUUUUUUCUCUCCGGCACAAUCUCCUUCUCUCUUUCUUUUUUUAGUACAGUCAGGACUCCCCAGCAGCGAGAAGCCCCGGGGGACGAAGGUGGAGGCACCAACCCGUGUGGAUUUCAGAGCCAUCCGCGGCUGCCGGCUGUUGGGGCGGCCAGGAGCGGCCUGCCAGCAGAUGGCGCUGUGCCGCACGUUAUGGACCCUCGUGUGCCCGACCGGCUCAGGGAAGGAGACAGACGGCUCAAAGUUUCUAGUGCCAUUCCUGGACUGAAACAAAUGUUUGUGGAAUUAAGUAGUGAUUUCCUUUAGUCUGCGCCACUCUUACUGGCUGUGUUUUCAGGCCUAGAUGUUAACAUAUGCCACAUAUUACUUUUUUUUUUUUUUCCUGGUGAAAUCAGGGGUUUCCAAGCACUCAGCCUCAUCCUAAGUGUUCAUGUCAACUAGCAAAGGUCUGCAUUUUCUGAUAAAAUAACUUAUAAAACUUCCAUAUUAAGAGCUAAAAUGGUUUGGAAGACAAAGAAGUGCUGAGAAAUGAGAAAGGGCCAGAUGUGUGAGAUGCCAGAAGAAGGGAGCCCUGAUCACACUCCGUGUACAGCGGAUCUCAAGCAUUUCCACCAAGGACUCCGCCUAGGAGGGAGAGAUAUCUUGUCUUGUGGAAGGACAAUGCCCUAUGUGAAUCUACUUCUAUUUCCUAACUGGAUUGGGAGCCAAACCAACAAGCUCCAAAAAGAUCACACAAGAGGCCCCAAUGCUGGGGCCAGAGGGCCACCUAUUCAUGCCUAUGGAUCCAGAGCUGCCAUUUUAAACCUAGAGGCAGGGCCCCCUCCUGAACUAUAAGCCAUUAAAAAGUCAGGUUCAUUCAAGCAAGAACAGAAGUUAGGUUGUGGAACAGAGAAAACUUUUCAAAAGAAGUGAAAAGUAGAUCCUCAUGUAAUCAUCCCUUCUUUCUUCAAAAUAGGCUGAGGCAGUUCUCUGGAAUUCCCAGAGAAGACUGAAAUGGAAUCUUCUAUUACCCUUCUGAGCAAUUACAUGUCCAGGAGUCUUUGAGAAGGAACACAAGCUAUUUCCUAAAUAUAUAUAUCUAUUUCUAUAUCAUGAGGCCUGCUGGGGCAGAUUGGGUGUCUUUGUUGGUUAAAAGAGACUACCUAAGAUGUUAUCAUGGCAGCACAUAACAAAAACACAUCAAGUUUGGACAAUUAGUGAGGCUGCAGAGUGGGAUUCAUGUCUGGCUGGUGAAGUGGCCCUUACUGGGCCUCUCUGUAGGAGAGGACCUAUUUCUUCUUGUCCUCACAUGGAGAUGAGACAAUAGGGCUAGGCAGCCAUGUUCUGUGCUUAGUGGCAAUUCUCAACAUGGUCCUUAUACUAAAGAAUGCCAGGAGGCCCUCUUUCUGGAAAGAAAAACAAAAGAAGGUGCUCAUUCCUGAUUCAGAGACAAACCAGGGAGAACUUCAGUUAGUUCAGAAAAUGCCUGGAACAGAGUGAGACUGGGGGCUUGGCCUUUUCUCCAGCAAGGACAAAAACCAUUGUCUUCAGUCUCACCAAACACCUUUCCCUCUCCCUUUCAUUUUGGUUCCCGUGUAGUCUGAGCGUUCAAAACCCCCUCUCCUAUCUCCUGGUGGAAUCCCAUAAGUGUGGAUUGAAUAUUGACAGAAUCUUCCAUGUUUCUUCCUGCCCUAGGGCAAUUAGAGUUGAAUUAUGUACACCGAAGUCAGGCUAUAAGUAAGAAACUAUUUUUCAUUUAUCUCAAUGAGAAGAAAUCCUUAUUAGACCCUAAGCAGAAGAAAUGAGCGAAUAUGAGAUUAAUAUAAGUGAAGGAGGCUAUAGUUUCUGCUUCGUGUGGUGAUAAACCCUUUUUUUCCUUUUCAUACUAAUUAUUGUUAUCAUUAUUAGUAUUAUUUUACCCCUCAAUUGCCUUCGGAUGUUAUCCAAGAGGAAGAGCUUUAUCGGCUGGUGAAAGCUCCACAGUAUUAUUUAUUUCAUGUAAUAAAAUGUAUGUAAUGAUCAUGA